rnacentral:lncRNA from 1 species
CUGGGGAGGCCUGGGAGACGGCCUUGGAGGCAGGUCUCCACAAUCGACGCUGUGUUCCCGCUGUGAGUUCGGACUCCAGAUGGUCCCCCGGAACCCGGAGCUGGGUUGGUAGCGAGCAGCUGCGCCUACCCCAGGACUCUCGGGAGGCUCUCCUUGCAGAAGGAGCAAGCGAGCCCGCAGAGGCAGAGCGCAGAAGGGCGUUUAUUUUUAGAGGCUUGCUGGCAUUUCUCACUGGCCGCCCCGGGGCCCAGGGCAGACGCAGUCCCUUCACCCUGGCACAUCCCCGUCCCGUGCGCUGAUGUCCAGGCCAAGUGCCGACCCCUCCCGCUUUCAAAACGCUCUUCAGUUUUGGUGACAAUGGGACAGGAAGGGCCCCUCGGAGCAUGCUGACGGGACAAUGGGUUCACCAAAGCCACGGUGAAGAGAAGCGUACAGAAGAGAGGGUGUCCGUGCACAGCCUGCUGGAUGGGAUUCCAGGGGCCUGCAACCGGGAGCGGAGUCCCCUCCUACAGUGAGUGGUUCUCAGAAAAGCUGGGGGGCAGAGGUACCAAUCGGGUCAUAGGCUGGGGAGCAGACACAAGUUGGGGAGGAAGGGCCCUAGGGCCGGAGCGGGUGGCCCUACAGUGGCCAGAUGUGUUUGUGGGCGUUCACACAGGGAACUGGUGGUGUGAGCUACUGCGGCCCCCACCCUGCCGCCCUCGCUCACACAGCAUCUGUGCGCAUCUCACAGACCAGAGUGCGGGCUGAGGAGCAGGGUUGCGCCCAGGCGGGCAGAGCAGACCCACGACGGCGCGUCUGAGCACACCGGACUGGGGAUGAGGCUCCAGUCGGUCAGCCCAGAAGUCCCAGGCCAGCGCCAGGGAGCUCCUGUCACCCACAGAGAGGGAGUACGGAGCCUGGACGGGCAGCUCUCCAAUGACACCUGCCGGCCAGAGCACCCUCCUUCCCACUGUGACAGUACCUGCCGGGCUUGCCAGGCCGUGCUGGGUGCUGGGCGCUGAGUGCUGAGUGCUGAGCGCUGAGUGCUGGGCCUUCACUCGGUGUCUGUGACUCCCCACCCAGCUCAAGCAGCGAGUUCAUUUCAGGGCGGGGCAAACGGAGCAGGUGUGUGCGCACACUCCCUUCUCCCCCUCCCAGGCACCCCCACAGGUGCACACACACACACACACGCACACGCACACGCACGCACGUCCCCCGAGGCCGUGUGGCCCGCCUGCCCGCUGACACUGCGGAGCUCUCUCCGGGAACCCCACGGAAGGCCGGCUUCGGGGAGGGCUGGGGAAGCCUGCGUGUCUGCCGCCAGCCACGGGAAAGGCCCCUCCGCGGGGGGCGCAGCUGAGAGUGUGGUCACCAAAGGGUGUGGCUUUGGGGUCCGGCCUCACCGGUGUGUCCAGCAAGUGCCUGAGCUGAAGCCGUGGUGUGGCCGGCCCCCCGCACAGCCUCGGCACGCCCGGAGCUCCCCCUCGCGGACAGAGCGGGAAGGUGCCGCUAGACCCCCUGGGCGACUCGCUCGAGUCCUCGCCCGAGUCCUCAGGGACACCAAGAUCACCCACCUUGCCUGUGAUAGGCAACAUAGUUUAUUUCUGUUUUCAAAAUUAUUUCCAGCUGAACAAAGUUAGUAAAAAUUCAAAGGGAAGAACGCAACAGAUAGAACAAAUAGUAGUUUUUUCCUAAGAAACCCAUUUUAGAGGGAUUUGUGUACAAAAGAGGAUAACACAGGGAGCAUUGAGUCCAAUAGCUGUGGAUUGCUACAUAAUCACGUAAUUACAAGAUUGUAACUCAGAUAAGGAGGUGAUGUCGAGUCCGUAGGAUCCUAACCACCGGUGGGCACAGUGGAGCACCUGAGCGCCCAGCGGGCACCUGAGACCUUCCCCUGGGAGCCCCGCAGGCAGGCAGGGUGUCAGCAGCAGAGGAAGCUGGCUGGCGUCCGCAGCCAGGCCACACAUGGGGUGCACCCAUCGGCUAAGGGGCUCAUACGGACACCCUCUUGGAUGAUGCCCACAGCCCCACCCCCACCCCACCCCCAGCACGUACUCCCACACAGAAGGGCUCGCCGGCCUUCCUUGUGUGGACGCAGAGGCCGAGUCUGCCAGACGGGGUCGGGCACCUGCUUUCGUGGGGGUCCUCCGGCCGCAUGGCCUCACUGCGAUGGGAACGCAUCAACUGAACACCGUCAAGUCCUCACAGAAAGUCAUCCUCGACUGGGAGCCGCCCCAGGACAGGCAGGGGACCUGCGGCCGUGUUUGGUGAGCAGGGAGCACCGGCCCCCAGCCCAGCGGGUCGCAGACACCCCCACGCUGGCCAGGCCUCCAGGGGCACUGGGUGUGUGAACUGCAUGAACUUGCCAUCUGGAGGAGAUUCUGAUCCACCACUUGGACUCAUACCACUCCGAACAUUAUCCGCGGACUUUCUGGUCUAUUUAAAAAUAGCAACACAACUCCACUGCUUAUUUUAAAAAGGGAACACUCCGUGAAUAUAAU